CCCUGAUCACCUCCUCUCUUGGAGUGAGGGGSGCCUCAACAGAACUCACGGCGCCNAAGGCGUCAAGGAACACUGNUNUUGCCUUGCGAGGGGUUGCGGUUAGCUUGCUGGCCUACCCUUUAGCAGCGAUGAUAUGUCAA
rnacentral:misc_RNA from 1 species